GGCGGAGUAAUUUUUUUUUUUUUUGAGUUUAAUUUGGUAUUUUAUUAAUAAGGAAUAAUCAUCAAACUAUAAUGGACCAAUCCAUUAUACAAGUGAACAUUCUAAGCCUAUUUAUUUGACUCGGCACAACCCGGAUCCAUUUACAACAAAUAUAAUCAGUAGAGUUUCCAAAAUAGACAAGUUUCCUAAUCCCUAUCUCAUUCACGCCUCUUUUCAACAUGUUUCUUCCCUUCUUCAACUGUGGAUUCCUUCGAUUGUUACUUUGGACAAUCAAUCUGGUACCGCUUUUUGUCGAUGAUUCUCCUGUUGAUUCAGAUUCCAAAAUUGAUUUCUCCGAUGUAUGGGACUUUGAAAGGCUUUUUUAUCAGCUCUGAGUGAUCUAGUUAACUGUGCUAAGCUGCUACCUCCAGAUCUAGAAGGGAUGAAGAUAAGGGAUGCUUGGACCCACGAAGAUUCUGGUAGCUGCUUCACACUUAGGUUUAAGAAGCUCAACUCGACCCAUAGAUCCUCCCAUAAAGCUGAGAAUCUAUUGUGUUAGCUGAAGUAGACUAGGCUAGUUAUAUCAUGCUUUGUUUUUGUUGUUUUUAUGUCUUGUACAUAUGUAACAUGUACACUAAGAAGCCUAAACCCCCCUUUUCCCUCUAUCCCUUUAGUGAUAUGAUUCUCAGGUAAGGGCACUGUCAUUUAUCACUAUUAAGGAUAGCUUUUCCUCUCUUGUGAUAUUGUUGAAAAUUGAUAAUAGUGACUACUCCUGAAUCUAUGGAUAGAU